rnacentral:tRNA from 1 species
GCAUCCGUAGUUCAGUGGCAGAACAUUAGCUUCCCAAGCUAACUAUACGGGUUCGAUUCCCGCCGGGUGCUCCA